rnacentral:rRNA from 1 species
UAUGGGGGGGGCAAGCGUUGUUCGGAAUUACUGGGCGUAAAGGGCUCGUAGGUGGCCAACUAAGUCGGACGUGAAAUCCCUCGGCUUAACCGGGGAACUGCGUCCGAUACUGGUUGGCUUGAGUUUGGGAGAGGGAUGUGGAAUUCCAGGUGUAGCGGUGAAAUGCGUAGAUAUCUGGAGGAACACCGGUGGCGAAGGCGGCAUCCUGGACCGGUAUUGACGCUGAGGCGCGAAAGCUAGGGGAGCAAACGGG